CCUACGGGUGGCUGCAGUGGGGGAUAUUGCACAAUGGGGGGAACCCUGAUGCAGCGACGCCGCGUGGGUGAAGGAGUGCUUCGGCAUGUAAAGCCCUUUCGGCCGGGGAGCAACAAGACGGUAGCUGCCUAAGAAGCCCCUGCUAACUACGUGCCAGCAGCCGCGGUAAUACGGAGGGGGCGCGCGUUAUCCGGAGUCACUGGGUGUAAAGGGAGCGUAGACGGCCAUGCAAGCCAGGGGUGAAAGCCCGGGGCACAACCCCGGGACUGCCGUUGAAACUGUGCGUCUAGAGUGGGGGAGGGGUAGGCGGAAUUCGGGGUGUAGCGGUGAAAUGCGUAGAUAUCAGGAGGAACACCGGUGGCGAAGGCGGCCUGCUGGACCGCGACUGACGCUGAGGCUCGAAAGCGUGGGGAGCGAACAGGAUUAGAUACCCGAGUAGUC
rnacentral:rRNA from 1 species